GCAUUCAAGAGGAAUCUAAAAAGCACGUAAAAGGAUGGUAAAAGGAGAAUAAUUCUCCCGUUGCUGGUGCUCUUGAUUGUAUAAAACCUAUAUUAAAAAAAUAUAAUAAAAAAGUUUAUAUUCAUCGGUUUUCUUAUAAAAAAACAGUAAAUAAACAGUGGCGGACCCACGUAGGGGCCCGGGGGGCACGUGCUACACCCCCAAAAAAAAAAAAAAAAAAUUAAUUUUUUUUUUGAGAAAAAAACCACGGGGAAAUGGCUUCCUGCCUUCCUCUUCUCUUUUCUCGUUCAAAGUCUUCAAACCCUAAAUCCUAACUUCUCACUUCCGCCCACCCGCCCCACCGCACUCAAAUUCACUGCUGCCGCCCGCCGGAGUUCCGGACGCCGUCAAGCCGCCUUCCCCUGCGACCCUGCUGCUCGAUCUUGGCCUCUGUCCUCUGACCUCGGCUCGACGGAGUGACGGACGACGGCUCUGUUACUCUGUUACUCUCCAUUCUCCAAGGAUCUGCAUUUUGUCAAAUUUUUACAAUAGGCAUCUUUGACUGAUUCCUAGCCCUAGUUGACAUUCAUGCUCUCCAUAUGUUGGUCCACAACAAAAACUUCAAAGAAACUUCUCUGCCAUGCUAAUGUCCUUUUCUCUUUCAACAAGGAUCCACUAUCAUAUUGUUGCAUCCGAAAGUUGAGUUAUGUAAAUGUGUAUAUGAAAUGGAAAAAGAAUCGCAGCUAUGACUCAAUUGAAACAAUUUACAGAAGCCCAGAAUUGAAACCAUUGAUAUCUCUUAAAAAUUGCAUUGCCCAAGCUCCUAGUGGCUGCAUUCCAAUCUCAGAUGUAUCUAAAAGGGGUUUAGUAUUGGAUGUGCCCAUCAAAGUUGCGAAGCUUUUGAGGCGGUAUCCUUCUGUCUUUGAAGAGUUCGUGGGGCCCCAAUACAAUUUGCCAUGGUUUAGAUUGACCCCAAAAGCAAUGGAGAUUGACGUGGAGGAGAAGGCGAUUUAUGAGGAUUAUAAAUUGGAUUUGCAACUUAGGCUGAAGAAGUUGAUAUUAAUGUCUAGAGAGCAGAGGUUGCCAUUGAGGAUAAUUCAAGGAGUUCAGUGGUAUUUAGGUCUGCCUGACAAUUUUCUGAAAAAUCUUGAUAGUUCUUUUAAGUUUGUGGAAAUGGAAAAUGGAGAUAGAGGAUUAGCCGUAGAGGGUGAAGAAAAGAUGAUGUCCAUUUUGCAGAAAAAUGCUGUACAGAGAGGACAGAGCAAUGGUGGAUGGAUCGAGCCAAUACCAUUCCCGCUUUUUCCCUCGAGAGGUUUGAGAUUGAAGAGAAAGAUUUCGGCCUGGUUGGAUGAGUUUCAGAAGCUUCCUUAUGUGUCUCCAUAUGAGGACUUUUCACAUUUGAGUCCAGAUAGUGAUAUAGCAGAAAAAAGAGUCGUGGGUGUUUUGCAUGAAUUACUCAGCCUCUUUGUAGAAAAUGCUGCUCCAAGGAAAAAACUACUGUGUCUUAAAAAGUUUUUGAGCUUGCCUCAAAAGUUUCACAAGGCAUUUGAGCGACACCCACAUAUGUUUUACCUUUCCAUGAAGGCCCAUACCUGCACAGCAAUCCUGAAAGAGGCUUAUGAAGAUGAGGCUGCUAUAGAGAGGCAUCCCUUGUUUACCGUGAGAGAGAAAUACAUAGAGCUGAUGAAUGAUUCUGAUAGGAUCCUAAAACAACGGAGGUCAAAUACUCACUUUGCCUAUAGAGAAGUUGCUGAUUCAGAGUCUGCCUCAGAUUUAAAUUCAGAAUGCGCUGUUGAAGAUUGUAUAGUAGUGGAUAAGAGCUCCUUUUAAGUACAUGUUAUCAACAACUUGCAGCUAGAUAGAGGUUUCGGGAGGAUUAUAGGAGUGUCCUUGGGAAGUUGUUUGACGAGACUUGUUCCUGCUGAAAGGCACUUUUGAUCAGUGUGUUGCUGGUGUGAAAUAGUUUUGAUGAUUGUUGGGUGUGCAUUAGAUAGACUUUCAGGUCAAUGCUGGUGAUUGAUCUGGUAACAUAAAGCUCCUGAUCAUUAUCUUGUAUAGUGAUGGUUUGAGGGAAUAGGCAGUCAAGUUCAGAAUAUGUGGAAUGAACACCGGCCUGAGAAGCUGCAUUCAGCAUCAGGACUAUAUUGAUGAAGCACAAGCUGAAUUUUCAGCAACGAAUAACUUGCUGACACUGACCAAAAGACCUUGCUUCCAGAACAACUUUGUUGGCUGUGCCAUUAUUGUGAGACCGUCUUGAGAUGACCUCACCGAAACCUAAGCAAUUUAGCCAUUGACGUCCCUUAUUCUUCUUGAAGAGGGGAAGUUUCAUGGAUUGCUUGUUGCUUUGCUUCAAACUAACGAACCAGUUACUAGUCUUGUAGUGGGAGCAUAUACAAUUAUACAUCACUUUAGGCCUCAGCUUUAUUCUACAUUGAACUUCGGAUUUAUGCUGUAUAUUGGGAUUAUAUAGGGCCAUUUUGGGACUGUUGUAAUAUUACAGAGGCUAUUAUAGAAGCAUAAACACUCGAUAUUGGUCAUGAGUUUUUGGAGAUAGGGAGGCGGACUAGGCGGGUGUUGUAUGUAAUUAGUGUUUUAUCUCACUUGAAUGACUUGAUCAAUGUUUAGGAUUGAGAAAUUCAAUCCAUUACUCUUAAGUCCAAGAAGAAUGGGCUUGAACCAGAGUAUUACGUAA